UACAGAGGUCCCAAGCGUUGUUCGGAUUCAUUGGGCGUAAAGGGUGCGUAGGCGGCGCGGUAAGUCGGGUGUGAAAUCUCGGAGCUUAACUCCGAAACUGCAUUUGAUACUGCGGUGCUUGAGGACUGGAGAGGAGACUGGAAUUCACGGUGUAGCAGUGAAAUGCGUAGAGAUCGUGAGGAAGACCAGUGGCGAAGGCGGGUCUCUGGACAGUUCCUGACACUGAGGCACGAAGGCCAGGGGAGCAAACGGG
rnacentral:rRNA from 1 species